UAAUACCGCAUAAUAUCUUUUGGUCGCAUGAUGAAAGCAUCGAAGGAGGAUUCCACUUUGAGAUGGACCCGCGGCGCAUUAGCUAGUUGGUGAGGUAACGGCUCACCAAGGCGACGAUGCGUAGCCGACCUGAGAGGGUGAUCGGCCACAUUGGAACUGAGACACGGUCCAGACUCCUACGGGAGGCAGCAGUGGGGAAUAUUGCACAAUGGGGGAAACCCUGAAGCAGCAACGCCGCGUGAAUGAUGAAGGCCUUCGGGUUGUAAAGUUCUGUCUUCUGGGACGAUAAUGACGGUACCAGAGGAGGAAGCAACGGCUAACUACGUGCCAGCAGCCGCGGUAAUACGUAGGUGGCAAGCGUUGUCCGGAUUUACUGGGCGUAAAGGAUGCGUAGGCGGACAUUUAAGUCAGAUGUGAAAUACCCGAGCUUAACUUGGGUGCUGCAUUUGAGACUGGGCAUCUAGAGUGCAGGAGAGGUAA
rnacentral:rRNA from 1 species